rnacentral:rRNA from 1 species
AGCAGCCGCGGUAAACGUAGGAGACGAGCGUUAUCCGGAUUUUACUGGGCGUAAAGGGCAAGUAGCGGUGGGCAAAGUUGGACGUGACAUCUCUCGGCUUAACUGGGAGGGGUCGUCCAAAACUAGCCGACUAGAGGGCAGGAGAGGGGAGUGGAAUUCCUAGUGUAGCGGUGGAAUGCUUAGAGAUUAGGAAGAACACCAGUGGCGAAGGCGGCUCUCUGGCCUGACCCUGACGCUGAGAGGCGAAAGCUAGGGGAGCGAACGGGCUUAGAUACCCCGGUAGUCCUAGCUGUAAACGUUGGGUACUGGGUAUUGGGGGGCAACAAACCCUCAGUGCCGAAGCGAACGCGUUAAGUAUCCCGCCUGGGGACUACGGCCGCAAGGUUAAAACUCAAAGGAAUUGACGGGGACCCGCACAAGCAGCGGAGCGUGUGGUUUAAUUCGAUGUGACACGAAGAACCUUACCUGGGUUUGACAUGUAAGUAGUAGGGAAGCGAAAGCGGACCGACCCUUCGGGGAGCUUACACAGGUGCUGCAUGGCUGUCGUCAGCUCGUGCCGUGAGGUGUUGGGUUAAGUCCCACAACGAGCGCAAC